rnacentral:rRNA from 1 species
AUUGAACGCUGGCGGCAUGCCUUACACAUGCAAGUCGAACGGCAGCACGGGGCAACCUGGUGGCGAGUGGCGAACGGGUGAGUAAUGUAUCGGAACGUGCCAUUGAGUGGGGGAUAACGUAGCGAAAGUUACGCUAAUACCGCAUAUACCCUGAGGGGGAAAGCAGGGGAUCGCAAGACCUUGUGCUCUUUGAGCGGCCGAUAUCAGAUUAGCUAGUUGGUGAGGUAAAGGAUCACCAAGGCGACGAUCUGUAGCGGGUCUGAGGGGCUGCUUCGCAACACGGGGACGGAGACACGGCCCAGACUCCUACGGGAGGCAGCAGUGGGGAAUUUUGGACAAUGGGCGCAAGCCUGAUCCAGCCAUGCCGCGUGAGUGAAGAAGGCCUUCGGGUUGUAAAGCUCUUUCGGCCGGGAAGAAAUCGUACAGGUUAAUACCCUGUGUGGAUGACGGUACCGGAAUAAGAAGCACCGGCUAACUACGUGCCAGCCGCCGCCGUAACAC